UUAAGCGACUAAGCGUACACGGUGGAUGCCCUGGCAGUCAGAGGCGAUGAAGGACGUGCUAAUCUGCGAUAAGCGUCGGUAAGGUGAUAUGAACCGUUAUAACCGGCGAUUUCCGAAUGGGGAAACCCAGUGUGAUUCGUCACACUAUCAUUAACUGAAUCCAUAGGUUAAUGAGGCGAACCGGGGGAACUGAAACAUCUAAGUACCCCGAGGAAAAGAAAUCAACCGAGAUUCCCCCAGUAGCGGCGAGCGAACGGGGAGCAGCCCAGAGCCUGAAUCAGUGUGUGUGUUAGUGGAAGCGUCUGGAAAGGCGUGCGAUACAGGGUGACAGCCCCGUACACAAAAAUGCACAUGCUGUGAGCUCGAUGAGUAGGGCGGGACACGUGGUAUCCUGUCUGAAUAUGGGGGGACCAUCCUCCAAGGCUAAAUACUCCUGACUGACCGAUAGUGAACCAGUACCGUGAGGGAAAGGCGAAAAGAACCCCGGCGAGGGGAGUGAAAAAGAACCUGAAACCGUGUACGUACAAGCAGUGGGAGCACAGAGCAAUCUGUGUGACUGCGUACCUUUUGUAUAAUGGGUCAGCGACUUAUAUUCUGUAGCAAGGUUAACCGAAUAGGGGAGCCGAAGGGAAACCGAGUCUUAACUGGGCGUUAAGUUGCAGGGUAUAGACCCGAAACCCGGUGAUCUAGCCAUGGGCAGGUUGAAGGUUGGGUAACACUAACUGGAGGACCGAACCGACUAAUGUUGAAAAAUUAGCGGAUGACUUGUGGCUGGGGGUGAAAGGCCAAUCAAACCGGGAGAUAGCUGGUUCUCCCCGAAAGCUAUUUAGGUAGCGCCUCGUGAAUUCAUCUCCGGGGGUAGAGCACUGUUUCGGCAAGGGGGUCAUCCCGACUUACCAACCCGAUGCAAACUGCGAAUACCGGAGAAUGUUAUCACGGGAGACACACGGCGGGUGCUAACGUCCGUCGUGAAGAGGGAAACAACCCAGACCGCCAGCUAAGGUCCCAAAGUCAUGGUUAAGUGGGAAACGAUGUGGGAAGGCCCAGACAGCCAGGAUGUUGGCUUAGAAGCAGCCAUCAUUUAAAGAAAGCGUAAUAGCUCACUGGUCGAGUCGGCCUGCGCGGAAGAUGUAACGGGGCUAAACCAUGCACCGAAGCUGCGGCAGCGACGCUUAUGCGUUGUUGGGUAGGGGAGCGUUCUGUAAGCCUGCGAAGGUGUGCUGUGAGGCAUGCUGGAGGUAUCAGAAGUGCGAAUGCUGACAUAAGUAACGAUAAAGCGGGUGAAAAGCCCGCUCGCCGGAAGACCAAGGGUUCCUGUCCAACGUUAAUCGGGGCAGGGUGAGUCGACCCCUAAGGCGAGGCCGAAAGGCGUAGUCGAUGGGAAACAGGUUAAUAUUCCUGUACUUGGUGUUACUGCGAAGGGGGGACGGAGAAGGCUAUGUUGGCCGGGCGACGGUUGUCCCGGUUUAAGCGUGUAGGCUGGUUUUCCAGGCAAAUCCGGAAAAUCAAGGCUGAGGCGUGAUGACGAGGCACUACGGUGCUGAAGCAACAAAUGCCCUGCUUCCAGGAAAAGCCUCUAAGCAUCAGGUAACAUCAAAUCGUACCCCAAACCGACACAGGUGGUCAGGUAGAGAAUACCAAGGCGCUUGAGAGAACUCGGGUGAAGGAACUAGGCAAAAUGGUGCCGUAACUUCGGGAGAAGGCACGCUGAUAUGUAGGUGAAGUCCCUCGCGGAUGGAGCUGAAAUCAGUCGAAGAUACCAGCUGGCUGCAACUGUUUAUUAAAAACACAGCACUGUGCAAACACGAAAGUGGACGUAUACGGUGUGACGCCUGCCCGGUGCCGGAAGGUUAAUUGAUGGGGUCAGCGCAAGCGAAGCUCUUGAUCGAAGCCCCGGUAAACGGCGGCCGUAACUAUAACGGUCCUAAGGUAGCGAAAUUCCUUGUCGGGUAAGUUCCGACCUGCACGAAUGGCGUAAUGAUGGCCAGGCUGUCUCCACCCGAGACUCAGUGAAAUUGAACUCGCUGUGAAGAUGCAGUGUACCCGCGGCAAGACGGAAAGACCCCGUGAACCUUUACUAUAGCUUGACACUGAACAUUGAGCCUUGAUGUGUAGGAUAGGUGGGAGGCUUUGAAGUGUGGACGCCAGUCUGCAUGGAGCCGACCUUGAAAUACCACCCUUUAAUGUUUGAUGUUCUAACGUUGACCCGUAAUCCGGGUUGCGGACAGUGUCUGGUGGGUAGUUUGACUGGGGCGGUCUCCUCCUAAAGAGUAACGGAGGAGCACGAAGGUUGGCUAAUCCUGGUCGGACAUCAGGAGGUUAGUGCAAUGGCAUAAGCCAGCUUGACUGCGAGCGUGACGGCGCGAGCAGGUGCGAAAGCAGGUCAUAGUGAUCCGGUGGUUCUGAAUGGAAGGGCCAUCGCUCAACGGAUAAAAGGUACUCCGGGGAUAACAGGCUGAUACCGCCCAAGAGUUCAUAUCGACGGCGGUGUUUGGCAC
rnacentral:rRNA from 1 species